AGGGUUUGAUACUGGCUCAGAACGUACGCUGACGGAAUGGAUUAGGCAUGCAAGUCGAACGCUUGAGCUCUUCGGAGCAAGAGAGUGGCGAACGGGUGAGUAAGGCGUGAAUCACCUACCCUGUUGAGGGGGACAACCAUUCGAAAGGAUGGCUAAUACCCCAUACGCUCCUUCGGGAGGAAAGCUGGCUCUGCUGGCGCUGCAGGAGGGGUUCACGUGCUAUUAGCUUGUUGGUGGGGUAACGGCCCACCAAGGCGAUGAUGGCUAGCCGGCCUGAGAGGGUGUCCGGCCACACUGGGACUGAGACACUGCCCAGACUCCUACGGGAGGCUGCAGUCGAGAAUCUUCCACUAAUGCGCGAAAGCGUGAUGGAGCAAUUCCGUGUGUAGGAUGAAGGCCUUAGGGUUGUAAACUACUGUUGGAAAGGCGUAAUCCCUGGGUGUUAAUACCAUUCCAGGUUGAACUCCUUUCGGAGGAAGCAGCGGCUAAAUUCGUGCCAGCAGCCGCGGUAAUACGAAUGCUGCAAGCGUAGUUCGGAAUCACUGGGCAUAAAGAGCACGUAGGCGGCCUAUUAAGUCAGCUGUGAAAUCCCUCGGCUUAACCGAGGAACUGCAGCUGAUACUGAUAGGCUUGAGUACGGGAGGGGAGAGCGGAAUUCCUGGUGGAGCGGUGAUAUGCAUAGAGAUCAGGAGGAACGCCGGUGGCGAAAGCGGCUCUCUGGACCGUUACUGACGCUGAGGUGCGAAAGCUAGGGGAGCGAACAGGAUUAGAUACCCUGGUAGUCCUAGCCGUAAACGAUGGGUACUAAGUGGGGGGACUCCCAAGGUCUCCCUGCCGGAGCUAAUGUGUUAAGUACCCCGCCUGGGGAGUAUGGUCGCAAGGCUAAAACUCAAAGUAAUUGACGGGGGCUCACACAAGCGGUGGAGCAUGUUGUUUAAUUCGAUGCAACGCGAAGAACCUUACCUGGGCUUGACAUUCAUGUGGUACCAAACCGAAAGGGGCGGGACCGUCUUUUGGCGGAGCAUGAACAGGUAUUGCAUGGCUGUCGUCAGCUCGUGUCGUGAGAUGUUGGGUUAAGUCCCGUAACGA
rnacentral:rRNA from 1 species